CUUAGAAGUAUCUUAGGGGUCUUGUCUACAUGCCCUUUAAGAUUCUCUUCAAUACACUGAGCAGUUGGUGUUCCAGGCCAAACCACAGAAUUGCAACUUGCCCCUGGGAGCUGGGCCCUUGGAGAUUCAGGAAUGAGUAAAAGUGAGGCCUGUCCGUAGGAGUUUAAGCUUGAGAAAGUGCAGCUGGAAGAGGCUCAGACACCAUCUUCACCUGGGGUGUUAUCUGAGGCCCACCUGCAUCAUAGUUACCAUGCUGCAAAUUAAAAACAUAGCUUGGAGAUUUUCCAUCUCUGGGAGCGGGGCUGGGAAUCUGAAUGACUUUGUGUUCUGCUACUGACUGACGAAAAGUUGAGCUCCCAGAGUUGAAGUGAUUUGUUCCAGGUCACACGGUUAGUAGGUGGAGCUAGUGGUGUUGAAACCAUCUAGGUCUUUAGGAACUGGUCAAGUGCUAGGUUGGGGCUUCAGUUGCUCUGGGAUACCAGUGCUGAUGCCCACCAUGCA
rnacentral:lncRNA from 10 species